UAGUAAUGGUUUCCUUAAUAAUACAUUUAUUCAAAACUGUCUAGACUCUUUUUAAAGUCUCUGUCUAGACCAUUGCUGGAAAGUGAUGGUGGAAGGUAGUGGAAGGAGUGUUCAAGGAGGAGUUCAGAGGCUUUAUAAGCAGCAGCACAGGUAACAUCAAUGCAGACCGUGAGACCCUGGUUUCUCAGCUGGCUCCUUGACUGACCAAUUACUUUCUGAUUUUGAGCCAGUGGUGCUGGGUUGAGAGGAUUGAGAAAUAAAGCUGAAGAUAAAAGCAAAGCAAAGAGCCCAGGCUUCUUUGCUGACUUGGGCAGUUGCAGUGGGAAUAUCCAUGAAUUUGGUCAAAAGACAACUAGCUCCACGAUAUUCACCUCUUUGAUCUUCACUCACUUCAUUGAUAAAAUUACGAGUCACUUAUCCAGUUUCACUAAACCAAAUUUCUGCUAAUACAAAUACCAAUUUGUAUUGGUAUUUCCCAAAGAAUGGCACUUUGUAUUCUUCUCACUUGUACAGAAUCAGCUCAUUCUUCAUUAACAUUUCAGCAUAGUUCUGGCAUUUAAUAAACAUGAGUGUUUUUU